CGUGGUAAUGCAAGAUUUAUUGGAUGCCAACCGCCAUUAAACCUCAUCGAAGAAGAAGAAGUUGCAAAACAGCUUCCAUUCACUUCACGGGCAAUAGGACAGCCAUCAGCUACUCCAAAUUCUAUAGAAAGCAUCCCUUCAUCAAUAGUGGUGCAUGCAGCCUCCAUCGGAGAUAGGGAGACUGUGCUGGAGAAAUCCAAGGACCUCAAGUUCCUUACAGGGUUUGAGGCCAAGGUGUUCCAGGACGCCCACGUGGAGGCAUUGAUGAUUCUGGGCAAGGCCUUCGCCAACUCUGACCCCUUUGACUUUGGCACCCAGAGCACCACGCAGCGGAUCCAGAGCCUGAUCUCAUCAUGCUGCGUCACCGCUUCACCCCGCCCCCCGAGGAGACCUACUCCCUGCACCGGAAGAUGGCUGGCUCCUUCCUCAUCUGUUCCAAGCUUGGUGCCAAAAUCGCCUGCAAGGACAUGUUCCGGGACAUCUACAACUCCUACCAACAGCGGCGGCUGGAGAAGGAGCAGACUGCCUAAGUUCAGGCCUAGAUAGGGUCAAAGGUCAUUACUAGGUGGUCACCCUCUCAGACGGCACCCUAGUGGGCUGAACUGACUGUCCAACUCCCAUGGCUGUGGACUAUGUUUAUUUAAGGUAGUGUAACUGUACUACACAGGUGAUCCACAGACUCCCAGCACUUUGACUCUGUCAGUGACUUGAUGCCACUCCACCACUCAAUGAGGUGGUCUGACAGUAAGGAGUGGGAGGCGGAGUGUCUGCUUGUAUAAAAGACCACAGAAAGAAACUCUAUAGCAUUUGUGUGAUUUAAUCACUUGAUUAGUGUUAAUAAUAAUUGUGUAAUGUAAAGGUAUGGUCCAACUUGAUGGGCUGUGUCUCUGUUAAUGGGAAAAGGUCUGAUAAUAUUUUGAUUGUUGUGUUUUGAUGUGCCCUGGUCCAAUGGUUUCCAUCGAACUGUAAUUUUAAUGCAGAUUGAUUAUUAUAUGCGCUCACACAUGUUAAUGCCACAAACAUCGCAUUUGUUUCUGAAAAUGGCAGUGUUUGUCCUAAAAGGUAUUUUGACACUGAAGUUAAAUGGACAAUAUUGUACACACUGCAACAAUAUCUGAAAGAGCAAUUUUUGUAAUCUUCAACAGGUAUAUUUUUGGCUAAAAAACACAAUGUCGGGAAGAUUUACUAUUUAAUGCCGGAAAAUAUCUUAUUCUAUACUAGUCUCAAUAUACAAGGCCUAUUUCACUGCCUUUUUUGGUUGCUGUAUUAAGCCGUCUUGUGAAUGUAUUUCCAUGGCAUGUUAGAUGAGCAGUGUUCUAUGUAUUUUAAAGGACUGUUUGAUGGAAACCCUAGAAGAAGUCCUUAAACAGUAUGAUAAAAUAGACCUGCUAGUUGCCGCCAACUGUAAAAAGCCUCAGCAUAAAUGUGUGCGUUGACAUUUUCACCUGAUAUUUUGUACCAUGCACUUUGGGACCAUACUCCAGCUCCAUAAGACAUAAUCAAUAAUUAUUCUGUGGGUUUCCAUCCUUGCAAUAAACAGUUGAC